rnacentral:rRNA from 1 species
CGUCGCAAGAUUAAAACUCAAAGGAAUAGACGGGGACCCGCACAAGCGUGGAGCAUGUGUUUAAUUCGACGAUACGCGAAGAACCUUACCUGGCCUUGACAUAGAAAGAAUUUAGCAGAGAUGUAAAAGUGCUAGUUUACUAGAGCUUUCAUACAGGUGCUGCACGGCUGUCGUCAGCUCGUGUCGUGAGAUGUUAGGUUAAGUCCUGCAACGAGCGCAACCCUCCUGUUUAGUUACUAACAGAUUAUGCUGAGGACUCUAGACAUACUGCCUGGGCAACCAGGAGGAAGGUGAGGACGACGUCAAGUCAUCAUGGCCCUUACGGCCAGGGCUACACACGUGCUACAAUGGGGUAUACAAAGAGCAGCGAUACCGCGAGGUGGAGCAAAUCUCAUAAAAUAUCUCCCAGUUCGGAUUACACUCUGCAACUCGAGUGUAUGAAGUUGGAAUCGCUAGUAAUCGUAGAUCAACAAUGCUACGGUGAAUACGUUCCCGGGUCUUGUACUCACCGCCC